GUGCUCGCUAGGACAACACAUGUACUAAAAUUGGAAUGAUGCAGAGAAAAUUAGCAUGGCCUCUGUGUAAGGAGAAGCCAGAGUCUCAUUCAGAAAGUCCUUACCUAUGUUU
ensembl:snRNA U6 U6 spliceosomal RNA